rnacentral:tRNA from 1 species
GGAUUGUGGCUCAGUGGUAUAGCACUUGCCUAGUGUGUAUGAGGCCCUGGGUUCCAUUCUCAGCACCA